rnacentral:rRNA from 1 species
ACACUCCUACGGGAGGCAGCAGUGGGGAAUUUUGGACAAUGGGCGAAAGCCUGAUCCAGCCAUGCCGCGUGCAGGAUGAAGGCCUUCGGGUUGUAAACUGCUUUUGUACGGAACGAAACGGCCUUUUCUAAUAAAGAGGGCUAAUGACGGUACCGUAAGAAUAAGCACCGGCUAACUACGUGCCAGCAGCCGCGGUAAUACGUAGGGUGCAAGCGUUAAUCGGAAUUACUGGGCGUAAAGCGUGCGCAGGCGGUUAUGUAAGACAGUUGUGAAAUCCCCGGGCUCAACCUGGGAACUGCAUCUGUGACUGCAUAGCUAGAGUACGGUAGAGGGGGAUGGAAUUCCGCGUGUAGCAGUGAAAUGCGUAGAUAUGCGGAGGAACACCGAUGGCGAAGGCAGUCCCCUGGACCUGUACUGACGCUCAUGCACGAAAGCGUGGGGAGCAAACAGGAUUAGAUACCCUUGUAGUCCCA